AGUGAACGCUGGCGGUAGGCCUAACACAUGCAAGUCGAACGGCAGCACAGUAAGAGCUUGCUCUUACGGGUGGCGAGUGGCGGACGUGUGAGGAAUACAUCGGAAUCUACUUUUUGGUGGGGGUUAACGUAGGGGGAGUUACGCUAAUACAGCAUACGACGUACGGGGGAAAGCAGGGGAUAUUCGGAGCUUGCGGGAUUGAACUAGCCGAUGAUGGAUUAGAUAGUUGGGUGGGUAAAGGCCCACGAAGUGGACGAUCCGCAGCUGGUCUGAGAGGAUGAUCAGCGACAUUGGAACUGAGACACCGUCCAUACUACUACGGGACGCAGCAGUGGGGAAUAUUAGACAAUGGGGGCAAGUCUGAUCCAACCAUAGCGAGUGUGUGAAGACGACGUUCCGGUUGUAAAGACGUUCUGUUGGGAAAGAACAGCAGCAGCUUAAUACCAAGCUUGUCUGACGGUAAUCAAUAAAUAAGCACCGGCUAACUUCGUG
rnacentral:rRNA from 1 species